rnacentral:rRNA from 1 species
AGUGAACGCUGGCGGUAGGCCUAACACAUGCAAGUCGAACGGCAGCACAGUAAGAGCUUGCUCUUACGGGUGGCGAGUGGCGGACGGGUGAGGAAUACAUCGGAAUCUACUUUUUCGUGGGGGAUAACGUAGGGAAACUUACGCUAAUACCGCAUACGACCUACGGGUGAAAGCAGGGGAUCUUCGGACGUUGCGCGAUUGUAUGAGCCGAUGUCGGAUUAGCUAGGUGGCGGGGUAAAGGCGAACCAAGGCGACGAUGCGUAGCUGGUCUGAGAGGAUGAUCAGCCAGACUGGGACUGAGAAACGGACCAGACUCAGACGGGAGGAAGCAGUGGGGAAUAUUGGACAAUGGGCGAAAGCCUGAUAAAGCAAUGCCGCGGGAGUGAUGAAGGCAUUAGGGUUGUAAAGCUCUUUUACCCGGGAUGAUAAUGACAGUACCGGGAGAAUAAGCUCCGGCUAACUCCGUG